AAUCAACGCUGGCGGCGUGCCUUAGACAUGCAAGUCGAACGAUUAAAGCUCCCUUCGGGGAGUGCAUAAAGUGGCGCACGGGUGAGUAACACGUAAGUAAUCUACCUUCGAGUGGGGAAUAACAUCGGGAAACCGAUGCUAAUACCGCAUAAUGCAGCGGCACCUAAUGGUGACAGUUGUUAAAGGAGCAAUCCGCUUGAAGAGGAGCUUGCGGCAGAUUAGCUAGUUGGUAAGGUAAUGGCUUACCAAGGCUUCGAUCUGUAACCGGUCUAAGAGGACGGUCGGUCACACUGACACUGAAUAACGGGUCAGACUCCUACGGGAGGCAGCAGUCGGGAAUCUUGGGCAAUGGGCGAAAGCCUGACCCAGCAACGCCGCGUGAAGGAUGAAGUAUUUCGGUAUGUAAACUUCGAAAGAAUGGGAAGAAUCAAUGACGGUACCAUUUAUAAGGUCCGGCUAACUACGUGCCAGCAGCCGCGGUAAUACGUAGGGACCAAGCGUUGUUCGGAUUUACG
rnacentral:rRNA from 1 species